AUAAUGAUACUUCCGUCCAGUCACAGCCCCGUGGGGAACGGGAUCACGCAAUGAGGGCGGCUCGGAGAGAUCCUCGGAGGGGAAAAAUCCCAUGA
rnacentral:ncRNA from 1 species